GGACCACAAGGCAGUACCUGAGCCACUGAGCACACACAGGUACACCUAACCCAGGGGCAGCUAGCGAGCAGAUUGCUGGGAAAAGUGACAUCUGAGCAAACACCUGAAAGACUGGGAGUCUUCCGGAAGGAGUCAGGAUCAAGUUCAUGUUCCCCAGAGUCAAAGAAUGAACAAUGCAUACAAAGGAAGCGAGUGAGCAGGAAUUUUAUUUUAAAGGAAGGUGAAAGAAAUACUCAGAACUAAGCACAGUGCACCUGGGAGAAGGAAGAUCGCCAUCUAAGUCUUACAGCUCCUCCUUUGGAAGGCACAUGUGAAGUUGAUGAGCUCUUCCUGAUUGGUUCUUUUGCUGCUGUUGUUCUAAUUAGUGAUACAUGACAAAGGAGGAUGCAUUUUGACACAUCAUACAUAAAUGCAGUAUAACUUCCUGUUCAUCUGGUUGUACAUGAUGUAAAGUCACACAGGUCAUGUAAUCAUAUAUGCACAUAGGGUCAUGAGGUCCAAUUCAGCUAUCCUUCCUACCUGUAUGCCCCCUACCCUCCCUUCGAUCCCCUCUAUCUAGUUCUCUAUUCUUCCCCACCACUGUCACCUUAUUGUGAAUUAGCAUCCACAUAUCAGAGAAAACAUUUGGCCUUUGGUUCUUUGGGGAUUGGCUUAUUUCACUUAGCAUGAUGUUCUCCAGUUCCAUCCAUUUACCAGCAAAUGCCA
rnacentral:lncRNA from 1 species